UACGUAGGUGGCAAGCGUUGUCCGGAUUUACUGGGCGUAAAGGAUGCGUAGGCGGACAUUUAAGUCAGAUGUGAAAUACCCGAGCUUAACUUGGGUGCUGCAUUUGAAACUGGGUGUCUAGAGUGCAGGAGAGGUAAGUGGAAUUCCUAGUGUAGCGGUGAAAUGCGUAGAGAUGUGGAGGAACACCAGUGGCGAAGGCGACUUUCUGGCCUAUAACUGACGCUGAGGCGCGAAAGCGUGGGGAGCAAACAGG
rnacentral:rRNA from 1 species